rnacentral:rRNA from 1 species
UACGUAGGGGGCAAGCGUUGUCCGGAUUUAUUGGGCGUAAAGAGCGUGUAGGCGGUUUGGUAGGUCCGCUGUGAAAACUCGAGGCUCAACCUCGAGACGCCGGUGGAAACCAUCAGACUAGAGUCCGGAAGAGGAGAGUGGAAUUCCUGGUGUAGGGGUGAAAUCCGUAGAUCUACGAAGGAACGCCAAAAGCGAAGGCAGCUCUCUGGGUCCCUACCGACGCUGGGGUGCGAAAGCAUGGGGAGCGAACAGG